GUGGGUAACCUACCCUGUACACACGGAUAACAUACCGAAAGGUAUGCUAAUACGGGAUAAUAUAUUUGAGAGGCAUCUCUUAAAUAUCAAAGGUGAGCCAGUACAGGAUGGACCCGCGUCUGAUUAGUUAGUUGGUAAGGUAACGGCUUACCAAGGCGACGAUCAGUAGCCGACCUGAGAGGGUGAUCGGCCACAUUGGAACUGAGACACGGUCCAAACUCCUACG
rnacentral:rRNA from 1 species